rnacentral:rRNA from 1 species
UACAGAGGGUGCGAGCGUUAAUCGGAAUUACUGGGCGUAAAGCGCGCGUAGGCGGCUUUUCAAGCCGAUUGUGAAAUCCCCGGGCUUAACCUGGGAACUGCAGUCGGGACUGUCUAGCUAGAGUAUGGGAGAGGGAAGUGGAAUUUCAGGUGUAGCGGUGAAAUGCGUAGAUAUCUGAAGGAACAUCAGUGGCGAAAGCGACUUCCUGGACCAAUACUGACGCUCAUGUGCGAAAGCGUGGGGAGCAAAC